UUGAAAUGUUGAUUUAUAAUUGAUAAUUUAAGGGUUUUGCACUGUCGAUCUCUCAUAUUUUCGAUCGUGUAAAAUUCCUCUGAUUAAAUGUAUGUCCAGAAUUGAUACCUUUAUAUAGCUCUAUAAUAGCUAAGAGGAAAUUGACGUACUUUUUUGUUAUAUCAUGAUAUAUGUAUUUUUUUAAGGGACGAAAGUUGCGUUACUUGAAGAAUGGGAGAAUCUCAGUGCUUCCAUGAUGCUUACCAGGCAUUGUAUGCAGUGCAGUUAGCAAGCCAGUUUGCAACACGUGAUAGGAAGGCACUCCAGCGGGUGAUCAAGACCUCACAGAACAUUGUUGGGGCAGCCCUCCCCUCACUGCAAGACAUUUAUAAAUCUAGAGUCCUACGCAGAACACACAACCUCAUCAAGGACAGCACACAUCCACAACACUCAUUAUUCACACUCCUACCGUCAGGCAGACGCUACAGGAGUUUGAAGUCCAGGACCACAAGGCUGGCAAACAGCUUUUACCCACAGGCCAUCAGGCUCCUCAACGAAGCACUCGCACACGCCGCACGCAACACACGCACACACUCAUAGCACUUUAUUUAUUUAUUUAUCUGUAUUAUUUACUUGUAUUAAUGUCUCGUCUGUUGUUGUUGCUUAAUUUAUUGGUAUAUAUGUUUAUGUGUUUAUGUUUCUUAUGUUCUUAUUCUUUCAUUUGUUUUCUUUCUUUUCUUGGGAGAAUGAACAGAAUAAGAUUUUCAUUGCAUGGUAUAACUGCUGUUUUACCAUGCACAUGACAAUAAAACUCUCUUGAAUCUUGAAUACAAUUGACCCGGCAUGACCCUUCAUUUGGAUAAACAAUUUUUUUUUUUUGCUGCUGCUGAAUGACGAACGUAAAAAGAUUCAUUCAUAUGAUAUGUUCUGGAAAAUAAUAUUACUGAACAUGCAUACCGGUAUGUUUGAGAUUGCAAACAACGUAUUGUCUUACCCAAAGCAUGUGGUUUUGUUUCAGUGUUGUUGUUUUUUGUGUGUGUGUGUGUGUGUGUGUGUGUGUGUGUGUGUGUGUGUGUGUGUGUGUGUGUGCGGGUGUAUCUAUUUAUGGUUACUACACAUUAUGGUUAUCACAUAUUAUUCCUGUUGUUUUUGUUAAAAUAUAUUUCUACAUCAGAAAAGAGGUUAUUUCUAUUUCAUAACACAAAAAAAAUCAGCAAAAUGUUAAAUGAUUUUAAAAACCUGUCCAAAGUCACUUGCUUUUAUGAUUCAUAUUUUGUACUGACGAGAGCAUAGUGAAUUGUAUGAAAGUAAGAAAAAAAGUAAAGGAUAAUAACCAUGGAUUUUAGUGGAAAAAAAGGGAAGGAAUAUGCAGUUAAAAUUAAAAUCUCUUUCUAGAGGAGUAAAACUAUGCAUUGCUCUAUGGGAGUGCUGAGCCAGGGUGCAGAGUAGAAUUUUGUCCCAAAGGCAAUGAGAAUUGGAAACGGAAAAAGUACAUUUAAUAUAGCCAAAAAAUAGAGAAUAACGUAUCAAAUCGUUUUUAAGGGACGAAGGUUGCGUUACUUGAAGGAAUGGGAGAAUCUCCCCGCUUUUUAAUGUAAAAUAUAGAAGUUCUGCGAUCCUCUUCAUCUGCUUUGUACACUAUAUACGCUGUGCGAAUGUAGUCGCGAUGUGAGUUCUUUGGCUUCAGCGGCUUGCACGGCGGCGUGAGGCGUAUGAGCUAUCCACAUAUAUAAUACAGAUCAGAGGCUCGCACAUGGUCAGAAAGUGUAUAAGCAGAGCCACUUGUGUGUGUGCCAGGCCUGUCUGCUCAAUCCAUCACUGCAUGACAUUAUGCUGUUUUCCUGCUAGUGAAUUGGAUGGGAGAGACUGUUGCUGUUCCUUGUUGGCCAUAGUGGAGGAAGAGGACACCAUCUAUCUCCUCGUCAUCGUCAUCAUCCUGCUGCUGCUGGAGCAUCCCAGGCACCUGAGCACACACUCACUCCAUCAUACAACGCCCAUACAUACACGUAUAGAGCUCUAUAGACUAUGCUGGCCAGCAAAUCUUAAAUUGUGCUCAGGACAGUUUAAGGGACAUUCAUCAUUUAUAUAUAGAUUUGUGUGUGUGUAUUUUAUUUAAAUGUUUUGUCCAUUCAUGUUGGAAGUGCUAUGUUCACAGUGACACCUAGUUUGUGAGGAAAGAGAAGAGAUGCAUUUCAGUCGGGCAAAUCAUUAAACCUGGAUUGAUAGUAAACUGCUAUCAGGACUCUGUCUGAAUUACUCAUUAGUUACACUAGUUUUUGACCCGGUCUCUCUUGAAGCUCACUGGGUAACAGUGGCUCAACCGAGUUGGCUUGUUCUUCAGUGCAUUUUGUGCAAUUUUUUACCAUCUCAUUCAGUUGGCUGCUCAGGCCUGGCCACCACACCGCUUCUCUUGCCAAGACUUAGUUGUGCAUUGUAGGAAUAACAAGUCUGGAACCUUUUUGUAGCAAACCAUCAUGCAUGGUUACCAUUGCUCUCUUUGACCAGUAUGCUUUUACUAUACCUGAAAGUCUACCAUAAUCUGGCCACUCAUUCUGGCAAUAUGACAUGACUUCAGAACAAACGUCCUCUUUUCGUUGCUCUCUCAACUUUAUCAUGUACCUGUCGCUAGCUGGCAUAUUGCUUACCAGCUCCUCAAUGUAACUGUUUGUCUCUUUCAUUAAGUUUUUGUCUUGAUCUGAGUUUGAGGGUACUGCAGCACGUGACAGUGUCUGCUGUGUCUAGUCCUUGCCUGUCGUAUGUGAGAUGUCAAAGCUGUAUCGCAUAAGUUUAAGUCUAAAUCUCUGUAUUCUUGGUGGUAGCUCUGUUAAAGCUUGUUGUCCUAAAAGGCUAGCUAGUGGCUUGUGAUCAGUCUCAAGUGAAAAACGUCUCCCAAUGAGGAAGUCUCUGAAUCUUUCACAUGCCCAUGUCAGUGCCAGUGCUUUUUUUUCCACUUGUGCAUACCUUUGUUCUGUGUCAGUCAACGAACGAGAUGCAUACGCCACCGGCCCCUUCUCCCUCGUCCGCCGACAGCUUCAGCUCUUUGUUGGGUUCAUAAAGCGUCAGCACAGCAGUCGUGGUGAGGUCAUCCUUCCCACCAAACACCAGACGUCAUUUGGACGUUCUUUUUUGGACUAAAUCUGGUCGGUAAGUCAUUGCCUUAAUAUAGCCCAAAAAUAGACGUUGAAAAUUGGGCUGCGUUUAGUCCGUCUGAUUUGGUCCAAAUUUAGCCCAAAAAUAGAUGUUGAAAUUUGGGCUGCGUAUAGUCCGUCUGAUUUGGUCCAAAUUUAGCCCAAAAAUAGACGUUGAAAAUUGGGCUGCGUUUAGUCCGUCUGAUUUGGUCCAUAUUUAGCCCAAAAAUAGACGUUGAAAAUUGGGCUGCAUUUAGUCCGUCUGAUUUGGUCCAAAUUUAGCCCAAAAAUAGACAUUGAAAAUUGGGUUGAGUUUAGCCCGUCUGAUUUGGUCCAUAUAUAGCCCAAAAAUAAACGUUCAAAUUUGGGCUGCGUUUAGUCUGUCUGAUUUGGUCCAUAUUUAGCCCAAAAAUAGACGUUGAAAAUUGGGCUGCGUUUAGUCCGCCUAAUUUGGUCCAUAUUUAGCCAAAAAAUAGACGUUGAAAACUGGGCUGCAUUUAGUCUGUCGGAUUCGGUCCAAAUUUAGCCUCAAAAAUUAGAGGUUGAAAAUUGGGUUGAGUUUAGUCCGUCUGAUUUGGUCCAAAUUUAGCCCAUCCAUCCAUUUUCUAUACCGCUUCAUCCUCAUUAGGGUCACGGGGUAUGCUGGAGCCUAUCCCAGCUGACUUCGGGCGAGAGGCGGGGUACACCCUGGACUGGUGGCCAGCCAAUGGCAGGGCACAUAUAGACAAACAACCAUUCACACUCACAUUUAAAUGAUUUAUAUAUUUACUUAUUUAACCUCUUGUCCCCAAACCUAUUUUUUGAGGCAGGUGGACUGUUCGGGUUGUCUUAGAGGACGUUUUGCCUUUCAUCCGAGCAGGCUUCAUGGGUUCAUACUCAAAGACUAGAUGGGACAGCUCUAGUCCAGUUCAUGCUCAAAGACUAGGUGGGACACAUCGGUUACAAUCGAUUGAAUGCACUGAGAAUACAAUGACCUGGAUGAAUGAGAAUAUUCAGAGGCCUAUUUUUGUAGGCUUCUGCCCAAAAAUGACAUGCCCAAACUAAACAGGUAACUUUGUAAAUAUAAACUCAUGUGUUCAAAAAAACACAAAUACCGUAGAAAAAUCAUUGAAUUGGAAAAAGAUUAUUUCCGUGCCUGGAAAAGUUCUGGAAAUGUAUUUAAAACAUGACUUUUUCUCAGUUACAGCAUUUUCCUGUCUUCCUGUUCCACACAUGCCAUCUUGGUGUUACAGGGUUGGAGCGUUCCAACUCCCCCGAUCACCAAUCAAGUCAUGGAAGUGAUGGAGGAUGUUCCACUUCUUGUUCUCAGUCAUCAGUGGGCUCAACCCCCAGACACUCAUAUUCCAGAUAUGGGCAGUCCCGCUCUAGAAGGGAGCGUCCCAACUCUUCCAAUCACCGAUCAAGCCAUCAAAGUCCUACACCUUCCAGUCUAGGACACUCAAUAUCCAGACAUGGCUGAUGACAAACUCCCUGAUGUCUUCAUUCAAUAUGAAGGGCCACGGUUCCAAAAGGGCAUUCCAACCAACAGAACUUUACGCCAUUGUGACAGCUGCUGUCAAAAGGUGGGACAGCAAAGCCAAAGACCAUGAAAUUUCACGUACUAUGGCAGACCAUUUCAAACAUGCUCCUGGGCGAUCUGGUGGUGGAGGCUAGCUUAAAAAAUAAAACAGGUGUGUCCACAACUUGUAUUGGACAUUUGUUGGGUGACAAACACGACUCCAAAUGAAUGAUGAUGUUGCACUGGAUGUGUAAAUAAAUUACUGCUUGCAAAUGCUAUUUUAGGGAAAAAAAUAUGAUUUUAAAUACACAAUACGUGCAGUUCAUGUCAAAAAUGUAUUAACUAUAACCUUCCUCAUGUUCAGUGCAGCAUUGACGAGGAAACAUCAGGGAGGAACUUCGGUUGUUUGAGUUCAUCGGUCCACACUAGUUUUGGCCCUGAUCAGUUGUGAUAUGAGAUGGAAACAUUUCACUUUAUGUACAGUAUUAUCUACAGUCAUGACUGUAUUGAAGUCCAUUUUUUUGUUUUACAUCCUUUUAUAUCAUGUUCUUCUGGAUAUAAGAUUAUGUUGUUGUUUUUUGGGUUGUCCAUGUACAGAGAACAGUAAAUGUUUUAUUGAUACAUUUUUUGUUAAAUUGUCUUUUUUUUUUUUUUAAGGGUAAAAAUUCAGUCCUGAAUUUGUGAUUAUUUAUAAGAAUUAAUUCAGGUGUUAAAUUACGUUUAGACACCAAAGCAAUGUCUUCAUGGAGAUGUCUUUUCCAACGACCUGAAAAAGACUGCUUUUUACCUUUUUCACUUUUCAACCAAAUCUAAACGUUGUUUCAACGCCUGGACAUGAUGUCUUUUCAACCAAUUUUUGCUGGGUGGGUUGUGUUGGUCAAACUCUGUCUGUGCGCAGCUCCAGAUGUACUGAUUUUUUUUGGUAAGAAGGUCCCUCAGAUGCUUGUCUUUUUCUGCUAGCCCUGGGAUGAAAUUCCCAAGCUGGUUUACCAUGCCAAGGAAGCUACGAACUUUACUCUUUAAUUUCUU